UCCUCGUUUAAGCGAGGCAGUCUGUCCAGAGUGCUCCAGCCUCUCGGCCGGGUGGCAACAGGACAUAAGGGUUGCGCUCGUUGCGGGACUUAACCCAACAUCUCACGACACGAGCUGACGACAGCCAUGCAGCACCUGUGUAAGCUGCCCUUGCGGGCUCGUCUCCCUUUCAGGAUUCUACUACCUACAUGUCAAGACCAGGUAAGGUUCUUCGCGUUGCAUCGAAUUAAGCCACAUACUCCACCGCUUGUGCAGGCCCCCGUCAAUUUCUUUGAGUUUUAAUCUUGCGACCGUACUCCCCAGGCGGCACAUUUAACGCGUUAGCUACGCCACAAGAGGGGUCGAUUCCUCUUACAGCAAAUGUGCACCGUUUACGGCUAGGACUAC
rnacentral:misc_RNA from 1 species